rnacentral:SRP_RNA from 1 species
CUUCCGGACCUGUGCGACAAGAUCGCAAGAUACCGAGUCAGGGUAGGAAUACAGCAGCUCAUCUUGUUAUUUUGGGCGCCGCAGUUAUCCGGGGAGAG